AUGAUUGGCCUCAGGGCCUUAUCGAUUAUUAAUCCCAACACCUCUGUGAACCGUUUUUCGGCCCUCGGGCUGAUCUUUUUACAAUACAAACAUUGUGUAAUGAGCGUCCUUGUUAUCUUAACAAAAC
rnacentral:misc_RNA from 1 species